rnacentral:rRNA from 1 species
GAUGAACGCUGGCGGCGUGCCUAAUACAUGCAAGUCGAGCGAACAGACGAGGAGCUUGCUCCUUCGACGUUAGCGGCGGACGGGUGAGUAACACGUAGGUAACCUACCUAUAAGACUGGGAUAAUUUCGGGAAACCGGCGCUAAUACCGGAUAAUCUUUCGCACCGCAUGGUUCGUUAGUGAAAGAUGGCUUUGCUAUCACUUAUAGCUGGACCUGCGCCGUAUUAGCUAGUUGUUCAGGUAACGGCUUACGAAGGCAACGAGACGUAGCCGACCUGAUAGGGUGAUCGGCCACACUGGAACUGAGACACGGUCCAGACGCCUACGGGAGGCAGCAGUAGGCAAUCUUCCGCAAUGGGCGAAAGCCUGACGGAGCAACGCCGCGUGAGUUAUGAAGGUCUUCGGAUCGUAAAACUCUGUUAUUAGGGAAGAACAAACGUGGAAGUAACUGUGCACGUCUUGACGGUACCUAAUCAGAAAGCCACGGCUAACUACGUG